rnacentral:rRNA from 1 species
GAUGAACGCUGGCGGCGUGCUUAACACAUGCAAGUCGAACGAUGAAGCCCAGCUUGCUGGGUGGAUUAGUGGCGAACGGGUGAGUAACACGUGAGUAACCUGCCCUUAACUCUGGGAUAAGCCUGGGAAACUGGGUCUAAUACCGGAUAGGAGCGCCUACCGCAUGGUGGGUGUUGGAAAGAUUUAUCGGUUUUGGAUGGACUCGCGGCCUAUCAGCUUGUUGGUGAGGUAAUGGCUCACCAAGGCGACGACGGGUAGCCGGCCUGAGAGGGUGACCGGCCACACUGGGACUGAGGCACGGCCCAGACUCCUACCGGAGGCAGCAGUGGGGAAUAUUGCACAAUGGGCCAAAGCCUGAUGCAGCGACGCCGGGUGAGGGAUGACGGCCUUCGGGUUGUAAACCUCUUUCAGUAGGGAAGAAGCGAAAGUGACGGUACCUGCAGAAGAAGCACCGGCUAACUACGUG